UGGGGAAUCUUGCGCAAUGGCCGAAAGGCUGACGCAGCGACGCCGCGUGGAGGAUGACGCCCUUCGGGGUGUAAACUCCUGUUGCCCGGGACGAAUACCCGUUUCGACGGGGUGACGGUACCGGGUGAGGAAGCACCGGCUAACUCUGUGCCAGCAGCCGCGGUAAUACAGAGGGUGCGAGCGUUGUCCGGAAUCACUGGGCGUAAAGGGCGCGUAGGCGGCUGGGUAAGCGUGUGGUGAAAGCCCGGGGCUCAACCCCGGGGUCGGCCCAUGGCGAACUGUCCAGCUGGAGCACGGUAGAGGCACAUGGAAUUCCGGGUGUAGCGGGUGGAAUGCGUAGAGAUCCGGAAGAACACCGGUUGGCGAAGGCGGUGUGCUGGGCCGCGGCUGACGCUGAGGCGCGACAGCGUGGGGAGCAAACA
rnacentral:rRNA from 1 species